ACUUGGUGGGGCUGCUCUAUUUACAUUGGAUUUAAAUCACAGUGACAGUUAAUUUCCUUUUUAUGUCUUUGUUCUAAAUUAAACAGCACAGACACCAAAGGCCCAACUGAGAGCUGAUGACACAGACAUUCCUGUAGGGGGCAGUGUGACACUGACCUGCUCUGUGAACCCAUCAUCAUCUGGUUGGAAAUACUUCUGGUACAGAGGAGAGAAAACCUCUGAACCUCUGACCACACCAGAUGUUGUCUUCCUCUCAACUGGACAAAUCAAUGUCUCACAGGGAGGACUCUACUGGUGCAGAGGAGGAAGAGGAGACCCAGUUUACUACACAGAGUACAGUGAUUCAAUCAGAAUCAACACAAUUAGUGAGUAUGGCAUUUGUUUUUGAAACAGACAACUAUCUUGUAUUCAAAAUUAAUUAUUUAUAAAUAGGCCUAUGGAAUGAUGUUCUCAUUUUUGAAACAGAACUAAAUAUAUUUUGUAUUAAUAAUUAUUUCAUCAGAUUGGAGUGAUCCCAUCAAAUUGACAGUAUUAGACAAACCUCAGUCUGUCCUCACUGUGUCUCCAUUAUGGCUGAGUCCUGGAGACUCUGUAACUCUGAACUGUGAGGUUGAACAUCCAUCUGCAGGAUGGAGGUUCUACUGGUAUAAGACUGUUCCUGAUCUAUCAUACAACUACUACAACUACAGCUCUGAGCUGCUCCCUGGCAGCAGCAGUGAGACUGAACAGGAUUCCUACAUCGUACAUGGACAGACACACACAGCAGGAUAUAAGUGCAGAGCUGGAAGAGGAGAUCCAGUGUAUUACACUGAUUAUAGUGAACCCAAGAUUGUCUGGUCUGGAGGUCAGUUUGUUUCUGUCUGUCCUCUCAAGAAGCAGAUGUUAUGUCAUCUAUUUUCUGUCUGUGACCAACAUAAAGUAGCUAUAUUGAAAACUAACACCUAUAUUAACAAAUAAUUGGUGUGUACAUUGAGAUAUACGUGGUUUCGGGGUGCUUACUGCAGCGGACUGCAAUGCUCGAGUACCUCCUCAUGAAGACUAGAGGGGAGUUAUGGAGCUAGAUUCUUGGUUAGGUAGUCAGAUAGAGAGAAGCUCUAUUGGACCCUGCGUCUGCCUUUUGUGCACACUGGUGGGUCCUAACACAUUGCAUUCCCAUUCUCCUGUGUGCUCUUGUGAUGAAGUUGUAAAAGCAUUUGUAGCUGAAGAGGUUUUAGAUGAGUGUACAAAGGAUCAGUUGGUUAAAAUAGCUGACUAUUAUUAUAUUAUAUUAUAAAGCUGAUGUUGGGGAUAGAAGAGUAAAAAAAAAGUGAUAUGAAACUUGAAAAUAAAUUUGUUAAAGAUGAAUGUGUUACUGUUGUAGGAAGAAGCGGUCUCUGUUGGGCCCUGCAGAGGUUGGUCCUUCCUCCGUACUGAAGAGUCCUGGUGCUAGAUUCACUUUGGAGCAGCAGAAAUAGUUGCUUGUGUUGCACAUGAAAUUAGAGAUGGAGAAAAAAGUCACUGUAGAAAAUAUGCGACAGGGUAUUGAGAUGGAGAAAGUACUGUCGGUUGAACUGCAGAAAGAUAAAUUGACGUUGGUUAGAGAGGGCAAGCAUGCGGUUGAUUCUCUGCUUGCCGAUAAUCCUGCUGUUGGUAGCAGUUCGAGCAUAAGAAGACUUUAUGAUAUUUCCAGCUUUCCACCUUAAUAUGUGGUGUUUCAUACUGGACUGGGCAGAAUUUUCUUGUUUCCUUCUGUCCUCACUCUUUAACUUCAUCACGAAUAACACCAAAAAGAGAGAGAAGAGAUUUUCACUGAAACUUAACUCGUCUUUGCAAUGAGUCAACAGGCAGUUAAAAAAGUUAAACAAUAUGCUGGACAUUUGAAAAUACCCUGACUAAUAAAAGGAAAACACUGAAUGUGUAUAGAGACAAUGCAGCAACAUGAAUCCCCCUGUAUCUUUGAAAUAUCAUUUAAA
rnacentral:lncRNA from 15 species